UUGAGUUUGAAAGGAAAUUAUAACACCAUUCCCUUUGAUUUCUUUCUUUAUCAUGGCAGUUCACUGAGAGAACAGUAAGAAAGGAGGCACUGAAAUGUGAGCUAAGCAUGAAAAUCUUUGGAAAUGAACUUAGCUUCUUAGAUUGCGAAGAUUUAAGAAAACAGAUGAAACAUUAUUCCUUAAAUCUGGCUGAGUUGGCUGUUAGACUUCUGAAGGGGCAGGAGGUCCAGUUUAACAAAAGGAUGAGUUUGGCUGCUGAACAGUUGCAGUUUCCAGCAAUUUCAGGCUUUCCUGUUCAGCUGGCAGUCAAUGCCUCAGCAGCAAUCAACAUGAAAAUCAAAGGGAAUGCAGAUUUCAAACAACAGUCCAAUUUCUUUCUAAAUGGAUAUAUCAAGCCAAGGUAAUAAAUGCUGCAAAUGUGUCCCUUUCACAUAUUCCUGAUGUAAAGUAGCAAUUCCUGAAGUGAAAGUUUUGUGUGAAUGCCUACUAAUU
rnacentral:lncRNA from 13 species